GCAAAACUCGCUCACAUACUCACGUGCACGCUUUCACACACACACACACACACCUAAACUAACGCAUAUGCAGGCAUACACUUGCGCACGCACACACUUUUCAAUCUGCUGCUGGUUUUCUGUGUUGUCAGCUACAGUACUUACCUGUGUGGAUACUUUUCAUCUUUAGCCAAUCUUCUCCCGGGUUUCAACGCCAUUGGGCAGAGUUCACUUCAUUUUCAAUCUCUCGGCUGUUUAUAUGCUCUAAAGGAUUAACACAUAUAAGAAAUGCAUGCCGGAUGAAUAAUACAAUCCCUUUCCCACCAGGCCAGCGUAGCCGAUUGGACCCACUCUAAUUGAUUAAUCCUAAUCCACGUCAUCAUUUUGUAUUGCCUGUUGCGGCAGGAUUAUUUUCCUUCUGUGGCAAACUGGCUCAGAUGAGGACCCCAUGUCUGUAUGCAACAGUAGAAUGUAUCGAACUCAUUGGUAGAGAAGGGCAGGAACACACACGCUCAUCAGACGCGGCAUGCGUGUGUGGGUGGCCAUGUACUGUGUAUAGACCCAUUGAUUUGUUUGAGUAUAUUUAGACAUCGUUCUAUCGAGCUCACCCAACAUCAGCCCUUUAUCGAUAGAGUUGAAUGGAUGAAACGUGUCUGAAUAGAUUCUAUUUUUGUUUCUAUUUUCGUUUCCUGAAUAGCUUUGAAUGAACUGUGCUUGUCCCCGGAUUAAAUGAAACGCAAUGCAAUAGUAUCAGAGAUAUAUUACAUUGCAACAGUCUGUUACCUCUACGGAAAAUAAGAAGAAAAAUAACAUUUCACGCUACUCUGCACCCUCUCUCUUUAUCUCCCUCUCUCUCUCGCUCGCUCUCACUCAUCUGUCUCUCUUUAUCUCCCUCUCUCUCUCGCUCGCUCUCACUCAUCUGUCUCUCUUUAUCUCCCUCUCUCUCUCGCUCGCUCUCACUCAUCUGUCUCUCUUUAUCUCCCUCUCUCUCUCGCUCGCUCUCACUCAUCUGUCUCUCUUUAUCUCCCUCUCUCUCUCGCUCGCUCUCACUCAUCUGUCUCUCUUUAUCUCCCUCUCUCUCUCGCUCGCUCUCACUCAUCUGUCUCUCUUUAUCUCCCUCUCUCUCUCGCUCGCGCUCACUCAUCUGUCUCUCUUUUCCCAUAACCCAUUCAAUUGCUUUAGUUCUGUUUGGACAAGGUGAUCAAAAGAUGUAACCAGCUUAUUCUGCAGUUACCAUAUUAACCCAUAUUUAGGAUAACAACCGUUGAACAAUAUAUUAUGUCACUCAUGCAGAAACAUACACAAUGCAGUUACAGACACGGGCAGGGCAUUUCUAUCGCUUCGUCAAAAUAUUCAAUCAAACUUGUUGUUUGAUUUAAUAUUUUGAUUGAAGUCUGUUUUUAUUUUACAUUUUUUAGAAGGGAAUGUUUCUCCGGUUGGUACCGUAGAGGUUUGUACACUUGAAGUGAUUAAAGCCAGCAGAAUGAAUGUCUCAAAAAACACAGAUGUUUAAACUGUUUAGGCCAGUCGGUUUCUGCUGACCACGGGAUCUGAGGGGUAAAAAACGAUGCUACAUUUAGCCUACACCUGGUUCAUGUUCAAUAGGGCACGCAAAGGAAAGUGAAAAUGAGACGUUAUCAUGACCUCUUUUUUUUUACGUUUUUUUCUUUCUUGCUGCCUAAUGAACACAACCCUCGCCUCCUCUUUCUGCUGACAAGGGCGUGACCUAUAUUGGGCGAAAAGUACUUUACUGUGUCUCCAAAGUUGGAGUGGUGCAUUGCUUCCCGCAGUAUCUGUAUUGAACUGAGUUGGCCUAAUGCAAAGUUGGCCCACAGACAUUUUGUUUUCAGGCCACAUUCAGAGCUGUACUGCCGACACAUCACCUGGUCACUGUCCUCUCGGCUGCAUUUCUCAUCUACCAUUUCUUUAACUCGCAUCCAAUGCAUUCAGAUCACUUACUAUAGCAUGUGUAUAAAUGUAUAUAUUUUAAGUCCCUCUCCACUUGUCGUUUCAUUUCCUUUCUUUUAUAUUGGAAACAUCACAGUGUAAGAAAUGUGGUGUUGUAAAGGUAUAUCACAUUUAUUCUACUAUAAUGCUGUACUGAAGAUUUCCCCCAUCAGCAAGAUUACUAUCGUAAUGGCCAUUGAGUGUGAAUGCAGUGGACAUUUGCCUGACAACUGAUAUUGGCUCUUUCUCAAUUCAUCUUUCUCCUAUUCCUUGUAUCCUCUCGCCACGCCUCAUUCUCAAACCGCUUUGGAGAAGGAAGCGAGCGGAGGGACCUUGGACCUUCUCCAAUAGGGUUGAGAAGGUGGUGAGGAAUCCCGGGAAGGACUAGUUAAGAGAGAGCCGUUGUUUUCAUCCUAUGUGACUUAUUCCUUAUUAAAGGGCUCCCACUGUUACUGCCGAGUCAACAGAGCCUUCUAUAAAAGUUAAUGAACACAAGCAUGUCAAAACAACAAAAAACAAGAGUCAUUCCAAUGAUUGAGAGGUAUUGAGGCGGGCUUCCAGGUGUGCGUGCGUGCGUGCCGGUGCGCUAACGAACGUGUGUGCAUAUAGUCGUGUGCGUGAAAGCCUAUGUGCGUGUAUGUGUGCGAGCGUGCUUAGAAUGUGUGAAAAUAUGAGUGUACGUACAAGCAUUCCCCCUCAUCAGCGACGCAGGUUUUUAAUUCAAAUGGAAUUCAAUUAGGUCAGGGUUGGCAGCUUCCCACAUAGGACACCCAUGGCAGCCGUGCGGUGUUGAGACGUGUUGGGUAGUGUGUAAGUAAGGACUCUUUCUUCACCACACACAUUUAUGUACUUCUGUCGUUGAGCUCUUCUUGUGUGUUCAUGUUCUGUAUUGUGUCAUGUUUUCG
rnacentral:lncRNA from 13 species